UACGGGGGGGGGCAAGCGUUGUUCGGAAUUACUGGGCGUAAAGGGCUCGUAGGCGGCCAACUAAGUCAGACGUGAAAUCCCUCGGCUUAACCGGGGAACUGCGUCUGAUACUGGAUGGCUCGAGUUUGGGAGAGGGAUGCGGAAUUCCAGGUGUAGCGGUGAAAUGCGUAGAUAUCUGGAGGAACACCGGUGGCGAAGGCGGCAAUCCUGGACCAACACUGACGCUGAGGAGC
rnacentral:rRNA from 1 species